rnacentral:lncRNA from 1 species
UUUCAUAAAGAAAGUUUGUUCCCUUGGAGUUAUUUUAUCUUCUUCAUUUGACUUCUCCUUUUGACUACAAUAGUCAUGGUCCCUAAACUCCCACUAUCUCUCUUGAAACUUAUUUCAAUUGUGUUAUACACAUCAAACAUUUGGAGAGCAUGUGGUUAUUUUUCACUAUAUAGUUUACAAUAAACUUAGUGAACCAUAAGAAUAGGGACACAAAGGUGAAGUCCUUGCCUAGUUUCCGUCUCGUUAAGUGGUUUAUCACUUCAACAUUCAAUGAUUCAAAAUCAUCAUAAGUCCAUGUUGAUGGACUAUUUUUGUCAACCAACCAUUAUGUUCUAAACA